rnacentral:rRNA from 1 species
UGAGGAAUAUUGGUCAAUGGGCGCAAGCCUGAACCAGCCAUCCCGCGUGAAGGAUGAAUGCCUUAUGGGUUGUAAACUUCUUUUGUACCUGAAGAAACUCUGGGUCGUGACCUGGACUGCCGGUAGGGUACGAAUAAGCAUCGGCUAACUCCGUGCCAGCAGCCGCGGUAAUACGGAGGAUGCAAGCGUUAUCCGGAUUUAUUGGGUUUAAAGGGUGCGCAGGUGGUUGAAUAAGUCAGUGGUGAAAGUCUGCCGCUUAACGGUAGGAUUGCCAUUGAUACUGUUUAACUUGAGUUUAGGUGAGGUAGGCGGAAUGUGUAGUGUAGCGGUGAAAUGCAUAGAUAUUACACAGAACACCGAUUGCGAAGGCAGCUUACUAAUCUACAACUGACACUGAGGCACGAAAGCGUGGGGAUCAAACAGGAUUAGAAACCCGAGUAG